rnacentral:rRNA from 1 species
UCUGGAAAGGCGCGCGAUACAGGGUGACAGCCCCGUACACAAAAAUGCACAUGCUGUGAGCUCGAUGAGUAGGGCGGGACACGUGGUAUCCUGUCUGAAUAUGGGGGGACCAUCCUCCAAGGCUAAAUACUCCUGACUGACCGAUAGUGAACCAGUACCGUGAGGGAAAGGCGAAAAGAACCCCGGCGAGGGGAGUGAAAAAGAACCUGAAACCGUGUACGUACAAGCAGUGGGAGCACGCUUAGGCGUGUGACUGCGUACCUUUUGUAUAAUGGGUCAGCGACUUAUAUUCUGUAGCAAGGUUAACCGAAUAGGGGAGCCGAAGGGAAACCGAGUCUUAACUGGGCGUUAAGUUGCAGGGUAUAGACCCGAAACCCGGUGAUCUAGCCAUGGGCAGGUUGAAGGUUGGGUAACACUAACUGGAGGACCGAACCGACUAAUGUUGAAAAAUUAGCGGAUGACUUGUGGCUGGGGGUGAAAGGCCAAUCAAACCGGGAGAUAGCUGGUUCUCCCCGAAAGCUAUUUAGGUAGCGCCUCGUGAAUUCAUCUCCGGGGGUAGAGCACUGUUUCGGCAAGGGGGUCAUCCCGACUUACCAACCCGAUGCAAACUGCGAAUACCGGAGAAUGUUAUCACGGGAGACACACGGCGGGUGCUAACGUCCGUCGUGAAGAGGGAAACAACCCAGACCGCCAGCUAAGGUCCCAAAGUCAUGGUUAAGUGGGAAACGAUGUGGGAAGGCCCAGACAGCCAGGAUGUUGGCUUAGAAGCAGCCAUCAUUUAAAGAAAGCGUAAUAGCUCACUGGUCGAGUCGGCCUGCGCGGAAGAUGUAACGGGGCUAAACCAUGCACCGAAGCUGCGGCAGCGACGCUGAUGCGUUGUUGGGUAGGGGAGCGUUCUGUAAGCCUGCGAAGGUGUGCUGUGAGGCAUGCUGGAGGUAUCAGAAGUGCGAAUGCUGACAUAAGUAACGAUAAAGCGGGUGAAAAGCCCGCUCGCCGGAAGACCAAGGGUUCCUGUCCAACGUUAAUCGGGGCAGGGUGAGUCGACCCCUAAGGCGAGGCCGAAAGGCGUAGUCGAUGGGAAACAGGUUAAUAUUCCUGUACUUGGUGUUACUGCGAAGGGGGGACGGAGAAGGCUAUGUUGGCCGGGCGACGGUUGUCCCGGUUUAAGCGUGUAGGCUGGUUUUCCAGGCAAAUCCGGAAAAUCAAGGCUGAGGCGUGAUGACGAGGCACUACGGUGCUGAAGCAACAAAUGCCCUGCUUCCAGGAAAAGCCUCUAAGCAUCAGGUAACAUCAAAUCGUACCCCAAACCGACACAGGUGGUCAGGUAGAGAAUACCAAGGCGCUUGAGAGAACUCGGGUGAAGGAACUAGGCAAAAUGGUGCCGUAACUUCGGGAGAAGGCACGCUGAUAUGUAGGUGAAGCGAC